rnacentral:rRNA from 1 species
UUAUUUAAUUAUAAUUAAAAUUUAUAUUUGUUCUUUUUAAUAAAUAUAUAUAUUUAUAGUAUAAUUUUUUGAAAAAAAUAAUAAAAUUAUAUGACGAGUACUGAGAAGGAAUUAAUUAAAAACAUUAAAAGAACUUAAUAAUAAGGUACCUUUUGUAUCAGGGUUUAUUAAUUUAAAUUUAUAAAUUUUAAAUUUCCCGAAAUUUAAAUAUAUAUAUAUUUAUUUUUAUGUAAAUUUCAAAUUAUUAUAUAAUAUUUAUAUAGUAGUUAUAUGCUUUUCAGUUUAAAUAUAUCUGGUUACUUUUGAAAUUAAUUUAAUUAAUAAUUAAAUUAAAAAGAAAAAAUUUAAUUUUUUCUUUAAUUUAAUUAAAUUAUUAAAGGGAUAAUCUUUUAAUGUAUUUUAUAAUUUAUAAAAUUUACAUAAACUUAAUUAGGAUUAAUAUUUUCUUUUUUUAUAUUUUUUCAAAAAAAGUUUAUAUUUUUUUAAUUUUUUUUAAUUUAAAAUCGUAAAAAGUUAUUUUAUUUAAUAAAUUUUUAUAAGAAAUAAUGAUAAAAUGAGUAUAAUUAAAUAUUUAAUUAAAGAAUUCGGCAAUUUUAAUUCUCGAUUGUUUAAUAAAAACAUUUCUUUUUGGUUUUUUAAAAAGUAAAGCCUGCUCAAUGAUUUUUAAAUAGCCGCGUGUAAUCGUGCUAAGGUAGCAUAAUAAUUUGUCUUUUAAUUAAGGUCUAGUAUGAAUGGCUAAACGAAGGAUUAACUUUUUUAAUUAAAUUAAUUAAAAUUUUAUUUUUUAGUUAAAAAGCUAAAAUAAAGUUAUAGGACGAUAAGACCCUAUAGAAUUUUAUUUAGAAACUUUUAUUCUAUUUUUAUUUUUAUUAUAUAAUAAAAGCAAUAAAUUUAGUUGGGGUGAUUUUUAUAUUUUAUUAACUAUAAUUUUUUCUUUCAUAAAUUAAUGAAUUUUUGAUCCUUUUAUUAAGAUUAACAGAAAAAAUUACCUUAGGGAUAACAGCGUAAUUUUCUUGGAGAGUUCUUAUUUAUAAGAAAGAUUGCGACCUCGAUGUUGGAUUAAAAUAAAAUUAUGGUGUAGAAGCUAUAAGUUUAAGUCUGUUCGACUUUUAAAAUUUUACAUGAUCUGAGUUAAGACCGGCGUGAGCCAGGUUGGUUUCUAUCCUUAAUAUAAUUAUGAUAAUUUAGUACGAAAGGACCAAUUAUUACAAAUAUAUUUGUAU